rnacentral:miRNA from 1 species
CUUGGACUCCUGUGGUCCAAGAGAUCGGGACUGUAAAUAUAAGAUAUGUGGAAUAUUUUCAAUGUAGUUAGACAUAUGUUAUAAACAGUCCCGAUCUCUUGGACCACAGGAGUCCAAG